rnacentral:lncRNA from 1 species
AAAGAAAAAAGGCUCAUGCUGAAUGAAGGUGGAUUACUUGGCCAUUUCAAAGUGUUUAUAGCUUGGACAAGCCAUUACAUAAAGCCUUUAGUGCAGUGGAAUUGCAGAUGGAGAAGGAAUUUUACAGAUGGGCAGUUUUAGUUGACCAGUUUAUAGUAUAUGUCAGGGAUCAUCUCCAUUUAACAUCUAGGGCACCAAGAGGUGAUUGCCAAAAUAAGAGAGCAUUUAAAAGCCCGGAGGUAGAGUAGGGCUGUGAAGUUGUGGCAUGCUGCUACAAGCCCUGCAACAUGGAAAAUGUUAGCUAGCCUUGACUCAUCGUCUUCAUCUUUCUUUUUAAUGCAGGUAGUCGUCUUCAGAAAUGAUGCGGAAAGUAAAAAAGGAACAGCUACCACUAAUUAAGCAAUAAACAAUGACUUCUUUUGCAGAUUACAAGUCUCCUGUGACUCAGCACUCAUAGUAACUAUUUCCCUGUGAAUAUGUUUUUCAUGCUGGAGGCUGGGCCCUUUUACAGGGACAGAGCCACAACACUGGAAGAAGAUGAGUUUCUUUGGGUAGAGUCCCAGCAGUUGCUAUGGGAAGGCUGCACACUCAACAGACUGGAAGCAAAGAUGGCUGCUGAAGAUUCCCAGAGGUAGUGCUGAAUCAUUUAGCUAAAGCGGCACUAAAUUUGGAGAGACUUUUAAAAAACAACUUAAUUAUUGUCACCCUUAGAGGUAUAAGCUGAUGACGGGAGUGUCCUUCUUGGGUGGUGUAGCUUCUUUUGGAUUCAAGAGAGAAGAGAUAUGAUGGUGGGGAAAGGUUGCAAAUCUUUGUUUAACAGAAAAUGACUAGAGAUGGGCAUGAAUUAAAAAACGAAUCAGCAAAUUCAUUCAAAAAUCACUCAUUUAUUAAUUCAUAUUCAUAUGAAUCAAUGCCUCAACAAAUAGAAUUGAUGAAUAUCUUUGAUUAUCAAUUUAUUUGGCUAUAGAAUGGCCCCCCAGGCACCUAGAGACACCAUAGAUGAACUUUGUCACCUUUAAAUAGCUCCUUGUGGCUCUAUGCAAUGUCCGGAUGAGCCAGAUAAAAACCCCAAACUCUCUACACUGUAUUUUUGCAUUUCUUGACUGAUUCCUCUGCUAGCACAAUCAAGGCUGCAAAAGCCACCCAUGCUCCUUCAAAUUUGCCCAGGAAAUAAAGCAGACAACAACAUAGUUGUGAAAGACCA